rnacentral:lncRNA from 1 species
AUGCUCUCGUCAGGUUCCAAUUGUCUCUAUCUUCCCAAGGGUCUUGCUGAGUUUUCUGCUUCAGCCUCCAGAGCAAUGAGGAUCCGGACACUUAACCAUCACACCCAGAUCAGAUGGGUUUUGGGGUGUUGGCUGUGUGUGCUGGGUCUUGAACACAGGUUUUUGCCUAAGCAAAGUUCUGCCACAAAGCCGCCACCUCCCAGCCUAGCCCCAGGGAUUCUCAGGAAGAAAACCCACAGAGACUCCGUGGCACCUGUGCUGGAGAAGGUCUGUUUCUGGAGAGAAAGAUACCAAUUUGGGUCAAACAUGAGAAAAAUCUGAAAAGAAAAGAAAACUGAUGCUUCAGGACCCAAGAACUGUGAAUCUUGCUCCAUAAACUAUUCUACCUGCAAGCUCUGCAGGCCCCAGUCCUCAUGUGUGUUCUCAGCAAUGCAGCAGUCUCUGCCUCUGACACCACAGCCUUGUCUUGGUCAGAGGCCUCCUGCCAGUCCUGGUGAUACAGGGCAGCAAGUACUCCAAAUAAGGGAAAUACUAUAACUCCCAACCUGCUAGAUAACCAAAAUACAAGUUCGUGUUCUCUAAAAUCACAGAAUGAAUUCUAGGAACAAUGGAGGUUAAAAGUAGGAAAAAAUUAUUAUUUUUUUUGGUACUGGGGAUAGAACACUGAACUUGCGCUUGGGAGGCAGGCGCCGGAACCACUGAGCUAAAUCCCUGGCUAUUUUUUUAAUUCAUUAAGUUUAUUGGUACAUUUUAGAUAUACAUUAUGAUUGUAAGAUCAGACUGAGGCACUGUUGAGACCACCAAGUCAGGCAAAGUUCAAGCAACGUGAUGGAUGAGUUUAUUGGCAUCUGAGUGCAGGAAGGCCAAGGGCGAAAAUACCAUUGGCACUGAGAGGAGGGUGUGCAGUUGAUAUGGGGGAGUUUAGGUAGGUGAGAGGCCACUGGUCCAGAGGGUGGAAAAUUUUAGAGUCCCAUGGGUGAUGGGCCUGGGGCUGGCUGAUAAACAGGGUGGUGGUAGGAGCAGCAGGGCAGCUGCUGCCUCCCUGUUAUUUCUAUGCUUCUGUGGAUGUGGGUAGCGGGUCUGCUUGGGCAGGGGCCCAACUUGGGUAGGGGGCUAUCAAUGAUCACAUUCUUCAUUGGGAAUUUGUACCUGUACAUGAUAUAUCUUGGUUCUGUUGUUUUUUUUUAAUCUUGGUUGUUGUUUUUUCGCAUUCCUCUUCCCUCCCUUCCACCCUUCUAUCCCUUCCUAUUUACAAAAGCUUUGUUUCCACUUUUUCCUUCUUUUCUCAUAUUUUUUUCUUUCCGUUCUUUCCUUUUCCUCACCCUCCCUUCCUACUUCCCCUUUCCCUUUGAACCUUUUCUUCCUGUUUCAUAUUAUCUAUUAUACAUUUUGGUCCUCAUUUACACUUUCAAUUUCUCACACCAGAGAAACAAUUCACUAUUUACACGUGUCCUAUUUAUUUCACUUAAGAGUAUGGCCUCAAUGUGCAUCCAUUUAACUAUAAAUGUCUAUUAUUCUUUUUUUUUUUUUUUUUUGGUACUGGGGAUCGCACUCAGGUCCUUGUGCUUGCGCAGCAGGCGGCGAAACCACUGAGCUACAUCCCCAGCCCAUUGUCUAUUAUUCUUUAUGGUUGAAUAGCACUCCAUUUUAUUUAAAAAAAUCAUCACUAUCCAGUCAUCAGUUGAUGGGCAUUUGGGCUGUUUCCAAGAUUUAGCUAUUAUAAACUGUGCCACUAUAAACAUGGGUACACCUAUUUCGCUGUGCUAUGAUGCUUUUAAUUCUUUUGGGAAGAUACCCAGCAGGGGAAUAGCUGAGUCAAUAGAUGGGACUUCUAAUCUUAGUUUUUUGUUUUGUUUUUUGGGGGAGUACUGAGACUCAAACUCAGGACCUUGCACUUGUGAGGGAGGUGGUGGCACCACUGAGCUAAAUCCCCGGCCCUCUAAUCCUAGGUUUUUGGGGGGGGGGG